AGCAGCCGCGGUAAUUCCAGCUCCAAUAGCGUAUAUUAAAGUUGUUGCAGUUAAAAAGCUCGUAGUUGAAUUUCGGGAUCAAUAUGUUGGUCGUGCCUCGGUACGUACUGGCAUUAUUGGUUUCUACCUUCUGAAGAACCUCGAUGUCAUUAAUUUGGUGUCUUGGGGAAUCAGGACUGUUACUUUGAAAAAUUAGAGUGUUUAAAGCAGGCUCACGCUUGAAUACAUUAGCAUGGAAUAAUGAAAUAGGACGUUUGAUUCUAUUUUGUUGGUUUCUAGGAUUGACGUAAUGAUUAAUAGGGAUAGUUGGGGGCAUUAGUAUUCAAUUGUCAGAGGUGAAAUUCUUGGAUUUAUUGAAGACUGACUACUGCGAAAGCAUUUGCCAAGGAUGUUUUCAUUAAUCAAGAACGAAAGUUAGGGGAUCGAAGACGAUCAGAUACCGUCGUAGUCUUAACCAUAAACUAUGCCGACUAGGGAUCGGAUGAUGUUAAUUUUUAAUGUACUUA
rnacentral:rRNA from 1 species